rnacentral:pre_miRNA from 1 species
UGACCGGUGUGUUGGCGAAACCGUUACCAUUACUGAGUUUAGUAAUGGUAAGGGUUCUUCUAUCACGCCGACU